GAUGAAGAACGCAGCGAAAUGCGAUACGUAAUGUGAAUUGCAGAAUUCAGUGAAUCAUCGAAUCUUUGAACGCAUAUUGCGCUCUUUGGUAUUCCGAAGAGCAUGCUUGUUUGAGUAUCAGUAAACACCUCAACCUCUUCUUGAUUUUUCAAAAGGAGGGUGGACUUGAGCUAUCCCAACAACCUUUACCGGUCGGCGGGCGGCUUGAAAUGCAGGUGCAGCUGGACUUUUAUCUGAGCUAAAAGCAUAUCUAUUUAGUCCUCGUCAAACAGGAUUAUUACUUUUGCUGCAGCUAACAUAAAGGAUAAUUGUCCUCUUUGCUGACUGAUGCAGGAUUUUACGACACUUUAUGUGUUGUUCAACUCGAUCUCAAAUCAAGUAAGACUACCCGCUGAACUUAAGCAUAUAAUAAGCGGAGGA
rnacentral:misc_RNA from 1 species